rnacentral:rRNA from 1 species
GAUGAACGCUGGCGGCGUGCCUAAUACAUGCAAGUCGAGCGAAUGGAUUAAGAGCUUGCUCUUAUGAAGUUAGCGGCGGACGGGUGAGUAACACGUGGGUAACCUGCCCAUAAGACUGGGAUAACUCCGGGAAACCGGGGCUAAUACCGGAUAACAUUUUGAACCGCAUGGUUCGAAAUUGAAAGGCGGCUUCGGCUGUCACUUAUGGAUGGACCCGCGUCGCAUUAGCUAGUUGGUGAGGUAACGGCUCACCAAGGCAACGAUGCGUAGCCGACCUGAGGGGGUGAUCGGCCACCCUGGGACUGCGACCCGGCCCAAACUCCUCCGGGAGGCAGCAGUAGGGAAUCUUCCGCAAUGGACGAAAGUCUGACGGAGCAACGCGGCGUGAGUGAUGAAGGCUUUCGGGUCGUAAAACUCUGUUGUUAGGGAAGAACAAGUGCUAGUUGAAUAAGCUGGCACCUUGACGGUACCUAACCAGAAAGCCACGGCUAACUACGUGCCAGCCGCCGCGGUAA